CCACGCUGGACGCCUCGGACAACGAGCGGGGCGGGCAGAUAUCCAAGGGAGUUAGUGACUGGCGAGGAAAGUUGAACAUAAUUUUUUUAUCGUGUGAGAUUAUACCAAGGGCGACGCCUAAGGUCAAGCAGGAGAGCCAUCAACAGGGACCAUGUGGAAGGCGUAGCGGUAAACGUGGCAGACGAGCGGCAUCAGCAACAUGACGUCACGAAGAGCGGCGUGUGACUGGAAGGCCGCGACGGUUGGACCGAGAUCCUGGCUUCGGCUUCGGCGGCGGUUGGUUACCUGUCCUCUGACUCAUCCCUGCUUUCGGAUCGGCUCGCCGGGCCGCGGCUUCGACUUCAGGGAGGACUGGACUCGCACAGCAAACUAUUCAAAUAUUCCCCCCUCCCCCAUCUCUGGGAGUAUCUUUCUCUUCUCUUUAGCAUUUGGAUGUAUAAAGAUGUGGUACAAUCCUAACGAACCAUCUAGUGGCGAAUGUUGAUUGCUCUUUGCAUAACACAUGCAGCUGGAAAUUGUGAAUCUGUUUUGGAAAUUUGAAUUAUAGAGAUUACGGAGUGGGUGACUGGA